GGGGAUAUAGCUCAGUGGCACAGUGCCUGCCUAAUAAGCAGGAGAUCCUGAGUUCUAUCCCCA
rnacentral:tRNA from 1 species